AGAGUUUGAUCAUGGCUCAGAUUGAACGCUGGCGGCAGGCUUAACACAUGCAAGUCGAACGGUAACAGAACUAGCUUGCUAGUUGCUGACGAGUGGCGGACGGGUGAGUAACGCGUAGGAAUCUACCGAAUAGUGGGGGACAACAGUUGGAAACGGCUGCUAAUACCGCAUACGCCCUACGGGGGAAAGGAGGGGAUCUUCGGACCUUUCGCUAUUUGAUGAGCCUGCGUGAGAUUAGUUAGUUGGUGGGGUAAUGGCUCACCAAGGCGACGAUCUCUAGCUGGUCUGAGAGGAUGAUCAGCCACACUGGGACUGAGACACGGCCCAGACUCCUACGGGAGNCAGCAGUGGGGAAUAUUGCACAAUGGGGGAAACCCUGAUGCAGCCAUGCCGCGUGUGUGAAGAAGNCCUUCGGGUUGUAAAGCACUUUCAGUUGUGAGGAAAGGUUAAGGGUUAAUA
rnacentral:rRNA from 1 species